rnacentral:rRNA from 1 species
GACGAACGCUGGCGGCGUGCCUAAUACAUGCAAGUAGAACGCUGAAGGAGGAGCUUGCUUCUCUGGAUGAGUUGCGAACGGGUGAGUAACGCGUAGGUAACCUGCCUGGUAGCGGGGGAUAACUAUUGGAAACGAUAGCUAAUACCGCGUAAUAGUAGAUGUUGCAUGACAUUUGCUUAAAAGGUGCAAUUGCAUCACUACCAGAUGGACCUGCGUUGUAUUAGCUAGUUGGUGGGGUAACGGCUCACCAAGGCGACGAUACAUAGCCGACCUGAGAGGGUGAUCGGCCACACUGGGACUGAGACACGGCCCAGACUCCUACGGGAGGCAGCAGUAGGGAAUCUUCGGCAAUGGACGGAAGUCUGACCGAGCAACGCCGCGUGAGUGAAGAAGGGUUUCGGAUCGUAAAGCUCUGUUGUAAGAGAAGAACGAGUGUGAGAGUGGAAAGUUCACACUGUGACGGUAUCUUACCAGAAAGGGACGGCUAACUACGUG